rnacentral:rRNA from 1 species
GACGAACCGAGCGAACGUUAUUCGGAAUCACUGGGCUUAAAGGGUGCGUAGGCGGGCACGUCAGUCAGGGGUGAAAUCCCACGGCCCAACCGUGGAAGUGCCUCUGAUACUGCGUGCCUAGAGGGGGACAGGGGCAUGCGGAACUUCCGGUGGAGCGGUGAAAUGCGUAGAUAUCGGAAGGAACACCGGUGGCGAAAGCGGCGUGCUGGAUCCCUACUGACGCUGAGGCA